UAUGCGAAGUGUAAGUAUUAA
rnacentral:piRNA from 1 species